ensembl:lncRNA
GAUUGUUUGCAGAUAAUGCUGUUCAAGCUCAACAGCUCUUUUGAGAGCCAACCCUCACAAACCUUCCUAAAAACUAAAAGAGCUGUUACUGAGUCUCAGCGAAUCUUGCCAUGAUCAGCUCUUCCCAGGUACAUUUGUUUAAAAUAUUUUUGAAUCAACAUUUACUCAUCAAAUGCUCUUGUCUGAAUCUUAUUUUAAAUUAACUUAAUUAUAUGUUUAAUGAGCAAUGUUAAUUGCACACAGAGUAAGAUUAUCUUGUUUUUCCGAAGAGAAGGAAGACCAAGGAAAUUAUUUGCUCAUGAGGAAUGAAGACGGCCAUCUUGAGCCCAAACAAAGACAGAAGUCCUCUGAUGAUCUCAUCAGCCAAAUGGGGGGUUUUGACCAAGUGAUGCUCUUGAAAGGACUGAAAGAAGAGGAUGUGGUAAAUUGUCUUCAGAGAAAAACCUUCUCUAAAGGUCUUAAAACAGCUUGAAGAAUGGUCUGGGAUCUUAGGACUGAGAGAUCCUCUGGCUGAGAGAAGCUACACCACAUCAGUGCUGGAUAUCAACCACAAACAGUUUCCAGACACGAGAGAAGAAGAUCACGAUGGGGAGAUGAAACCAGUUUAGAUGUGAUGAUGGGAAUCAUUAUUUUCUGGAACAGUAUCACAUGUCUCAUAAGUAUCACAUGAUCUGAUUGUUGACAGUUGACUGAAUGGAUUCUUUUUACUUUUAAGGACAUUUCAUCACUCAUCUGUGUGAACUGAUUAAUUUAUGAUAUUAAUGAAUUUUUUAUCCUUUAUUAUUUUCCUUGAAUUGUGUUUGUCUUGAAGCUACUUUAUCAACUUCAUAGUCUAUGCUUCAAUAAAAUUAAUAUGGUGAAUAUUGUGUGUUGAAAAUUCUUGGUAAAUUCAUAAUUUUACUAGAUACUGUAGGCUACUAUGGGUUUAUUCUACACUUGAAAAACUACAUAUUAAUUACCAGGAUUAUUUUUUUGCUUAAACAUUAAUGACAUCUGGAACAACAAUACACCAGAAAGUUAUUAUUGUAUAUAUUUAAUCACAAAUAUGCCUAUAUAUCUAUAUAAAGGGAUUUACUAGAUGAAUUAUUUUGAAAAGCCAUUUACUUUAUAGUUACAAACACUUGAGGGAUAACUGAGAAUGUAGCAGGAAUGAUCAACAUGGAUCUUGUACUGCAUUAAAUCCAAGAGCACGCACAUUACUGAUGUUCAGCAUCUGAGGACCCAGAUAAGGGGAUGAGGAGGACAUUUUUACACUGAUUGUUGCUAAUUAGUUAAUAUAUAUAGUAUUCUGAGUACUCCAUGAAUUAUUCCUUGUGGAAAAGUGAAGUAUCACAAUGUGUAUAAAUUGUCCUUGAUUACUGCUUAACAGUGGGGAAUAGAUAAUGGCAUGUUGUUGCAGGUUCAUCCAUUAUAUUUAUUACUGUUAACUUCAAAAAUAAAAUAAAUAAUCUAUAAUUUUUAUUAUUAAAUCAUUUCUUUCUAAUUUUGCCAUGUUUCAUCAGAUGGCCUCACCAUGUCCUGUCAAAAGCUUUACUGCUCAUGACAUAAGAAUAAGAAAAGGUUAGUCUAUGAAAACUGUCAGAUAUAAAUGUGACUCAGC